UAUAGGACGUGGCACAGUAACAAAACUCCCUUGACCUAAUGUCCAACAUUUCCCAAGUAAUCUAAGUAUUCUAACCUCUCAGCCCUCACCCGACGACGUGCCUACUCACUCUAAUCAUCUCUGCUCCCGCGGUCUUCCAAGUCCUGUCUCCCUUACUGUCAUCUGAGUUUUUUAAGGAUCUACCUCACAAGACUAUGGGAUCUGGCAAGUCUGAAAUCUGCUGGGCAGUCUGGUAUACUGGAAACUAAGAGAGAGACAGAGCAUGAACAGGGGAGGAGCAGAGAAAGAGGGAG